rnacentral:rRNA from 1 species
UACGAAGGGGGCUAGCGUUGUUCGGAAUUACUGGGCGUAAAGCGAGUGUAGGUGGUUGUCCAAGUUGGAUGUGAAAGCCUUGAGCUCAACUCAAGAAAUGCAUUCAGGACUGGGCGGCUAGAGGACCGGAGAGGAUAGUGGAAUUCCCAGUGUAGUGGUGAAAUACGUAGAGAUUGGGAAGAACACCAGUGGCGAAGGCGGCUCACUGGCCCGGUACUGACGCUGAGGUGCGAAAGCGUGGGGAGCAAACAGG